AUUGAACGCUGGCGGCAUGCCUUACACAUGCAAGUCGAACGGUAACAGGUCUUCGGAUGCCGACGAGUGGCGAACGGGUGAGUAAUACAUCGGAACGUGCCUAGUAGUGGGGGAUAACUACUCGAAAGAGUGGCUAAUACCGCAUGAGAUCUACGGAUGAAAGCAGGGGAUCGCAAGACCUUGUGCUACUAGAGCGGCCGAUGGCAGAUUAGGUAGUUGGUGGGAUAAAAGCUUACCAAGCCGACAAUCUGUAGCUGGUCUGAGAGGACGAUCAGCCACACUGGGACUGAGACACGGCCCAGACUCCUACGGGAGGCAGCAGUGGGGAAUUUUGGACAAUGGGCGAAAGCCUGAUCCAGCAAUGCCGCGUGCAGGAUGAAGGCCUUCGGGUUGUAAACUGCUUUUGUACGGAACGAAAAGCCCUGGGUUAAUACCCUGGGGUCAUGACGGUACCGUAAGAAUAAGCACCGGCUAACUACGUGCCAGCCGCCGCCGUAACAC
rnacentral:rRNA from 1 species